GGCUAAGUCAGCCAGGUGUGAAAGCCCCGGGCUCAACCUGGGAACGGCAUCUGGAACUGCUUGGCUAGAGUGCAGGAGAGGAAGGUAGAAUUCCCGGUGUAGCGGUGAAAUGCGUAGAGAUCGGGAGGAAUACCAGUGGCGAAGGCGGCCUUCUGGACUGACACUGACACUGAGGUGCGAAAGCGUGGGUAGCAAACAGGAUUAGAUACCCUGGUAGUCCACGCCGUAAACGAUGUCAACUAGCCGUUGGGUCCCUUGAGGACUUAGUGGCGCAGCUAACGCAAUAAGUUGACCGCCUGGGGAGUACGGCCGCAAGGUUAAAACUCAAAUGAAUUGACGGGGGCCCGCACAAGCGGUGGAGCAUGUGGUUUAAUUCGAUGCAACGCGAAGAACCUUACCUACCCUUGACAUCCAGAGGACUUUCCAGAGAUGGAUUGGUGCCUUCGGGAACUCUGAGACAGGUGCUGCAUGGCUGUCGUCAGCUCGUGUUGUGAAAUGUUGGGUUAAGUCCCGUAACGAGCGCAACCCCUAUCCUUAUUUGCCAGCGAGUAAUGUCGGGAACUCUAAGGAGACUGCCGGUGACAAACCGGAGGAAGGUGGGGACGACGUCAAGUCAUCAUGGCCCUUACGGGUAGGGCUACACACGUGCUACAAUGGCAAGUACAAAGGGUUGCAAUACGGCGACGUGGAGCCAAUCCCAUAAAGCUUGCCUCAGUCCGGAUUGGAGUCUGCAACUCGACUCCAUGAAGUCGGAAUCGCUAGUAAUCGUGGAUCAGAAUGCCACGGUGAAUACGUUCCCGGGCCUUGUACACACCGCCCGUCACACCAUGGGAGUGGACUGCACCAGAAGUGGUUAGCCUAACCUUCGGGAGGGCGAUCAC
rnacentral:rRNA from 1 species